UACGAAGGGGACUAGCGUUGUUCGGAAUCACUGGGCGUAAAGCGCACGUAGGCGGAUAUGUCAGUCAGGGGUGAAAUCCCGGGGCUCAACCUCGGAACUGCCCUUGAUACAGCAUAUCUUGAGUCCGAUAGAGGUGGGUGGAAUUCCUAGUGUAGAGGUGAAAUUCGUAGAUAUUAGGAAGAACACCGGUGGCGAAGGCGGCCCACUGGAUCGGUACUGACGCUGAGGUGCGAAAGCGUGGGGAGCGAACAGG
rnacentral:rRNA from 1 species